GACGAACGCUGGCGGCGUGCUUAACACAUGCAAGUCGAGCGGUAAGGCCCUUUCGGGGUACGACGAGCGGCGAACGGGUGAGUAACACGUGGGUGACCUGCCCUCCAGCUCUGGGAGUAAGCCUGGGAAACCGGGUCUAAUACUGGAUAUGACUCCAUGACGCAUGUUGUGGGGUGGAAAGCCUUGUGCGGCUGAGGAUGGGCCCGCGGCCUAUCAGCUUGUUGGUGGGGUGAGGCCUACCAAGGCGACGACGGGUAGCCGGCCUGAGAGGGCGACCGGCCACACUGGGACUGAGACACGGCCCAGACUCCUACGGGAGGCAGCAGUGGGGAAGUCUUGCGCAAUGGGCGAAAGCCUGACGCAGCGACGCCGCGUGAGGGAUGACGGCCU
rnacentral:rRNA from 1 species